UAGUAUUCUGACAUCUAGGUUUUGUGACUUUUGAUUGUCAAAAAAAAAAAAAAAGAAUUUAAUUAUUUGCAGAAAUUGUCAAAGGAAUUUUGUUUCCCAAGAAUAAAAAGACGAUCUAUCAUCGGCAAUCUCUCUUAUAAAUAAAUAUUUUUCCAAAUUGCCCAUUGAUACAUCGACCAAACUAACUCCAUUACCGAGAUGUGCAGAAACAAAGCGUUGCGACAAAGUUAUGUAUCAAUAUACACUUCGUUUGCCUAUAAAUUCGUCUUUAAAAUAUGACAUAGUGGGAUUACCAAUGCCAACUGAAAUCCUUGCAAGACUAAUGGUAGCCCUUCAGGCAUAUCGAGAGUUGCAUAAAUGUGUGGAGAACUGGACAACACCUUGCAACCAAUUAGGAAAGAAGGAUUUAAAGCAUUCGAGUCUGAUUGGGAGGAGUUGGAAUUAGAAAAAAUUGACGAGUAAGUUUUUACAUAUAACGCAGGAUCAUGGCCUGGUGUAUAACCAAACGUCGCCAAUAUUAUUACAAACGAAUUGCAUCAGAGUUUUACAAUUGUCGACCUACUGCUGGUGCUGUAUCCUAUUUGUACAUUCCUGAAGAACAAAAUACUGCUAGUUGAUUCUCGUUUCCAUACAAAAUUUUUGAAAAUGUGGUUCAAUGAUUACUAGCGCCUGUGGAAGAAAGUGGUAAAUAGAACUCAGUUAGCGUAGCGACAUCUUCCGUCAGAUUGCUUGAAGUACCAUUUUUGUGCAUAGAAACUAUGGCCAUCUACAUUUUUUGGCUAUAAAAAUCAGUAGCACCUGUCUUUUUUGAAGUCUACUUUUUGACGUUUUGGAAGAAAAGAAUUCUUUCAGAAAAAAAGUAUUUUAAAAUGUUUGUGCGAAACAAAAUAUCGGGGUAAAAUAAUUGAAUCGUGUUGGAAAAAGUUAUUAAAAAUUAUAAUUAAAUCAUUAAAAAAAAAUUAAGUGUUCUUUUAUCAAUAAUUUUCUGUUUUUUUUUUCAAAUGCAAUCGUGGAAUCGUGUUGGAUGGAAGGAGGGCCAAAUGCUCCCGCAAACUAGAUACAUGCCUCCAUUUAUAUCAAUAGAAAGUCUAGUAAGUGCCACGAUUCAUCAACAACAGCAUCCGAAACAGCAUUAUCACACCAAAAUCAACAAUAACAGCUUAAGCACCAAUUACAACAGCUGAAUCCCGAUAUGAUCCGCCAGUCCUUUUUUUUUUUUAAUCCCAGCUGCAGAAAUCAAUGCGAGGACGAGCUUAAGAUACCAAUUUAUAACAUGGAACCAAUCGACAAAAUAAGCCUCCUCAAACGAGACAAAUGCCAGAACAGCCAGGACAACAAAUGUCUGGAACGGGAUAUAACGCAAAAUUAAGUUCAUAUGGAAUACUUCCAAUAUCUUGGUCAUACUGGCCAACGUGUGGAUAAAUGCAAAAGACCUGCAUAGGUACAAGGUACUAGGAAUAUAUAAAUUCGUUGCAAAUAAAGAUUAUUGCCCAGUAAAUGAUGGUUGUUGGUGAUGUUAAUGAAAUGUUCAUGCCCUUAUUCGAUGGUGUCCUUGUCGAUCCAGAAAAAUAUGUAGCUGGAACAAACUCCUAAUAUGUUUUUUGACAAAAGGAAAAGAAUCAUAUCUUUUGCCAGCCACACAAGCUGGUCUAAAAGCACUCAAAGCAUCAAAUUGUGCUGAAAAGCUGCUCGUAUUCAAUUCAUUGUUGCUGAUAAUGUGAAGAUUCUGAAAAACUUCAUAAUCGUGACGAUCUUAAACGAAACAGGGAAAGAGAAAACUGACUAGAGUGUGCUCAGUAGAUUUGUUUAUAUAUUCAUAUGUGGAUAUUGCUUCAAUUUGGCGAGUUCAAGGUUAACAGGAGGAGAAGUCUAUAAAUACACAAUUUUCCAGAUCUGUUGGGGUUGAAUUUUAAAAAUUUCCCUGAGAGAUGAUCCACAGUCGCGGGCAGUUACGGAGUUUGUGGAAACAGAACCUAACAAUUCUGAACCUCAAUUCUUUGAAUGAAAAUCGAAGAAGUAGCUCCAGCACAAGAACUACACCAAGCUUAAAUCGGAGAAUGUAAGGAAAAUCAAUACCUCAUAGCAGAUUUUUACGUAACACUCAACACUUUGUGUCGUAUACCAACUGUGUCCUAAAAUUGUUGUCAUCGAAACUCCAAAUGCAAAAACCAUGAAGGAAGAAUGUAAAAAGCGCCAUUUGUUAGAAGAUUAACAUCAACAGUGUAGUCUAGGGCUUUUAAUUAUUUCUAAAGAGUACAUCUUUUUAUUAUUGUUAUUGUUGAAAAGACUUUUUAUACGAAUAUUUUAUAUUACAUAAUUAUGCAGGUAUGUGUGUAUUUAUAUAAUAAUUUUAUUUUAUUUUAUUUUAAA